rnacentral:lncRNA from 10 species
CUUUUGUAACAGAGUGCCAGGCACUACAGAAAAUCUGAGGUUACAUCGUGCCUUUUCUCUUCCACAUGACGGAGAUCUUCAAAGUAAGCAUCUUUCAAAGCAGUGACAAGCAAAAUACAACUGGAAGAUCAGUAACUCUCUGUUAAGCAGCUUUGCUUGCUGUCAUUGUUGACUGCCAGGGGGUGGUGAUCCAUGUCAGUCACUAAAAUGACACCUUGGCAAGACUGCUGUCUGCUCCUGGAGUUUUUGUGUAUGGAAACAAUUUUAAGGUUCCUGUGUUCCAGCGACAGGCAGUUUCAUUUGGGAUUUCAACUUGUCACCAGAAGCAGGAAGUAUCAGAAAGCUUGUAAUGUGACCUGCUUUUGUGAAAUUUGCAGUUCGAAUUUGCAGUUCGGCUUGACAGAUGAGGAUGCUAGAAAAAGGGUCAGCUAAGACAGACUUGAGAGAUGCUUGUUACUCUGCCUGGCAUCCCCGAGACUGCAGUCCUGAUCAUGUGGCCCUGAAUGUGUGUCAGAAUUUGUGAAAGGUGUAUAGUCAACUGGAGACGGGACAACAAAACCCUGGUUCUUUUAUAACCCCUCGUUCCUUUUCACUUUCUGUUCUCAUUCUUACUUUCUCAUGUGUCCUCUUUUUCUUGGCCUUCUCUUCUGCCGCAUUUCAAAGAACAUCGCCUGUUUGGAUUGUAACACUAGUUCUGAGAAGAGACUCAUAACAGGCAUUGGAGAGAAGGUAUGCAGAGGAACAGAGCAACGACAAGGAAGCUAUUCCAGUGCACAGAAAACCAAAACUAUGCUCUCUGUUACAUUCUGUCUCUAUUGAGGGUUUUUAUAGCAGAUCCUUUGGAGUUUUAUUUUACAUGGUGAUCUCUCUCUCUCUUUCUCUUUGACUUUUAAAUUUAUACCUUCUCUCUGCUAUUGGCCCUACUUGAGAUUGCAUAUUCAUACACUAUUACCAUGUCUGCAUGAAUAAACAGAUUCCAAACCUCUGUUGUCUGAUAUAUCACACCAGGAAUCUCAUCAUCUGAGUCUUACGUGGGGUGGUGGUGGCAGGAUGGGGGACUUGGGGGAUACACUUAGCAAAAGUUAUGGGAAGGCAGAGGGGAAAGGUUGGACUGCAGAGCACCACUAUUUCCCUUGAGAACUAGUCACCCCCAUUAUAACUAUUUGCAUUCUCUGCAAAGCCUCCAUUUCUUCCUUUCUGCCUUUCUAAUUUUCUCAGCUGCUCUGCUGCUGGGAUUGGUCUGACUUCAGAUCUCUGCGUUGCGGUUCUGGGCCUGUGUGCUUCUUGUGUAGUGUGCCUCUUUAGACUGACUUUGCAGCUCUUCACUCAGGGAUGUGGC